rnacentral:rRNA from 1 species
UACGGAGGGAGCAAGCGUUGUCCGGAAUUAUUGGGCGUAAAGAGCGUGUAGGCGGCCCGGUUAGUCCGCCGUGAAAGUCGAGGGCUCAACCCUCGAAUGCCGGUGGAUACUGUCGGGCUUGAGUACGGGAGAGGCGAGUGGAAUUCCUGGUGUAGCGGUGAAAUGCGCAGAUAUCAGGAGGAACAUCGAUUGCGAAGGCAGCUCGCUGGAACGUUACUGACGCUGAGACGCGAAAGCGUGGGGAGCAAACAGG